rnacentral:rRNA from 1 species
AUUGAACGCUGGCGGCAGGCCUAACACAUGCAAGUCGAGCGAGCGGCGGACGGGUGCGUAAUGUAUGGGGACUGCCCGAUAGAGGGGGAUAACUACUGGAAACGGUGGCUAAUACCGCAUACUAUCGGAUAACCCAUAUGGGAUUAGCUAGUAGGUGGGGUAAAGGCUCACCUAGGCGACGAUCCCUAGCUGGUCUGAGAGGAUGACCAGCCACACGUGGACUGAGACACUGCCCAGACUCCGACGGAGGCAGCAGUGGGGAAUAUUGCACAAUGGGCGCAAGCCUGAUACAGCCAGCCCGCGUGUAUGAAGAAGGCCUUAGGGUUGUAAAGUACUUUCAGCGGGGAGGCGUUACCCGCAGAAGAAGCACCGGCUAACUCCGUGCCAGCAGCCGCGGUAAUUC